GACGUAGGCUGCAAGCGUUAUCCGGAAUUAUUGGGCGUAAAGCGUUUGUAGGUGGUUUGUAAAGUUGGAUGUUAAAUCUUUGAGCUCAACUCAAAGUUGGCAUCCAAAACUCACAGACUAGAGACAGGUAGAGGUAAGUGGAAUUCUGUAUGUAGGGGUAAUAUCCGUAGAUAUACAGAGGAACACCAAAAGCGAAGGCAGCUUACUGGACCUGUUCUGACACUCAAAAACGAAAGCGUGGGGAGCAAACGGG
rnacentral:rRNA from 1 species